ACAUGCGACCAUAUCUACAAGAAAAUAUGGGAUCCCGUCCGCUCUCCCUUAAUCAAGCUUGUAAGAGCCGGAGUAGUAGUUGGGUCGGUGACGA
rnacentral:rRNA from 1 species